rnacentral:rRNA from 1 species
ACGAACGCUGGCGGCGUGCUUCACACAUGCAAGUCGAACGGAAAGGCCCUGCUUUUGUGGGGUGCCCGAGUGGCGAACGGGUGAGUAACACGUGAGUAACCUGCCCUUGACUUUGGGAUAACUUCAGGAAACUGGGGCUAAUACCGGAUAGGAGCUCCUGCUGCAUGGUGGGGGUUGGAAAGUUUCGGCGGUUGGGGAUGGACUCGCGGCUUAUCAGCUUGUUGGUGGGGUAGUGGCUUACCAAGGCUUUGACGGGUAGCAGGCCUGAGAGGGUGACCGGCCACAUUGGGACUGAGAUACGGCCCAGACUCCUACGGGAGGCAGCAGUGGGGAAUAUUGCACAAUGGGCGGAAGCCUGAUGCAGCAACGCCGCGUGCGGGAUGACGGCCUUCGGGUUGUAAACCGCUUUCGCCUGUGACGAAGCGUGAGUGACGGUAAUGGGUAAAGAAGCACCGGCUAACUACGUG